rnacentral:lncRNA from 1 species
AUCCCCUGGUUGGUGGGGAACUUCAAUUUCAAAUGGUAGGUUGAAACGACAGCUCUGAGGGCAUUGAGGCCGGGUCGGCCAAGGAUUGCAUUGUAGGCAGAUGGCGCCUUUACCACCAAAAAAUUUAUCAGAGCCCUGGACUGCUUUGGAUACUGACCCGCGGUCACAGUCAAAGCUAUCAUUCCCUCCGUCGGAACGGCGUCACCGGUAAAUCCUAUCAAGGGGGAGCAAAU